rnacentral:rRNA from 1 species
UACGUAGGGGGCAAGCGUUAUCCGGAAUUACUGGGUGUAAGGGGAGCGUAGACGGUAAUGUAAGUCUGGAGUGAAAGGCGGGGGCCCAACCCCCGGACUGCUCUGGAAACUAUGUUACUAGAGUGCAGGAGAGGUAAGCGGAAUUCCUAGUGUAGCGGUGAAAUGCGUAGAUAUUAGGAGGAACUCCGAUUGCGAAGGCAGCUCACUGGACUGCAACUGACACUGAGGCUCGAAAGUGUGGGUAUCAAACAGG